rnacentral:rRNA from 1 species
GGGGAAUUUUCCGCAAUGGGCGAAAGCCUGACGGAGCAAUACCGCGUGAGGGAAGACUGCCUAUGGGUUGUAAACCUCUUUUUUCAGGGAGGAAUAAAAUGACGUGUACCUGAAGAAUAAGCAUCGGCUAACUCCGUGCCAGCAGCCGCGGUAAGANCGGAGGAUGCAAGUGUUAUCCGGAAUCACUGGGCGUAAAGCGUCUGUAGGUGGUUUGAUAAGUCAACUGUUAAAUCUUGAGGCUCAACUUCAAAAUCGCAGUCGAAACUAUUAGACUAGAGUAUAGUAGAGGUAAAGGGAAUUUCCAGUGGAGCGGUGAAAUGCGUAGAUAUUGGAAAGAACACCGAUGGCGAAAGCACUUUACUGGGCUAUUACUAACACUCAGAGACGAAAGCUAGGGUAGCAAAUGGGAUUAGAUACCCCAGUCAGUC